rnacentral:rRNA from 1 species
UGCGUAGGCGGCGAUGUAAGUCAGAUGUGAAAUCCCCGGGCUCAACUCGGGUUCUGCAUUUGAAACUACAUUGCUUGAGUGCAGGAGAGGAAAGCGGAAUUCCUAGUGUAGCGGUGAAAUGCGUAGAUAUUAGGAAGAACACCAGUGGCGAAGGCGGCUUUCUGGACUGUAACUGACGCUGAGGCACGAAAGCGUGGGGAGCAAACAGGAUUAGAUACCCUGGUAGUCCACGCUGUAAACGAUGGAUACUAGGUGUGGGGGACGUACAACCUCCGUGCCGGAGCUAACGCAAUAAGUAUCCCGCCUGGGGAGUACGGUCGCAAGACUGAA